AGCACAUAGCCUUGUCACGUGACCUUCUUAUUUACUAUGGCUCUCUGGGGACUGGGAACUAUGUACCCCGUGUCAAUAUGGCGGACAAACAUGGCCGACGCCGGUGAGGCUAAGUUUUUGCUUUAUAGGAGAAAUGCUAGCACAAAUAAGCUAAAAGUCGUCUAUUUGAAGGGUUACGGCAAUAGACAUGAUUUUGUGAGCUGAAGSMUGGAUUGWUAAGGCGUUUAGUCACUGAAGCUCCUGACUACCCCUGAAGCAUGCAGCACGUAUUUGCAUUGUAAUCAAUUCAAUUUUGCUUUGAUUUAGAUCAUUCCACUUUUUUGUUGGAUUURUUUGUAAUAAAAUGAUGUUUUAUUAA